AGUUAUGGCGCAUUAUUCUAGUCAAUUACUUCUAUUAGGAAGACGGGGCUAAAAAUCCGUUAAAGAGCAUAACUGUGAAACAUCUUGUGCUUGCUUCUUACGCCCAGUUUGGGGUGGGUGCUGGAUGGUAUGAGAUUUGGGCGAUCGUAAUGGCAUACGACCACGACCCAUGUUUCUGUGGAGGCCUAAGUAAGUCAUAAGCCUAUACAUGAGAACAUUGAUGGACUUAUGACGACUUAGGGUGAACCUACUAUGCGGGGAAACUUGUGAGUAGUGUAGCUUGUCUUGCGUGAUGUUUGGGGAUAAAAGAACCACUUUUGUUUUGAAUGGCCAACCAAAACAGAUAGAUUGCUUUUUGAAACAGAGAUUGCAAAAGAGAAUUACUAAUAGAAGGGUUGUCGAGGAAAUCUCCUAGGGUGUUUUUUACAUAGGAUUGCAGUGUACACUCAGUGGUAAUCAAGUCAUAUAUUUGGUGACAGUAUAUCUAAAACUUUAAAGGGGAACCGCAAUUUGGUAACGGAUUGUAGUUUUAGGGGAAAUCCUACUUGACCUAAGGUGCAAAGUUUACUAUGUAAAUUGCCAU
rnacentral:sRNA from 1 species